CUCCUAGUAUUGUAAUCCUAGGAAGAAUCUGCCCAAUGAAAUUUUAAUGGCCGCAGUAUCUUGACUGUGCUAAGGUAGCAUAAUCAUUUGUCUUCUAAUUAAAGGCUAGUAUGAAGGAUUUGACAUAGAACCCCCUGUCUCAAUUAUAAUAUUUAACUUAUCUUUAAAGUUAAAAUUCUUUAUAACCUAAGGGGACGACAAGACCCUAUAAAACUUUAUUUUUAACGCACUAUUUACAAGAAACUAAAACAAAAAAAAUUAUACUGGGGCGGUAAAAUUUAAACAAUUAUCAUUUUUUAUCCUAACAAUUUUUAUGACUUUUAUCAGCUCAUUUUAAAAAUAAAAACAAGCUACUUUAGGGAUAACAGCACUAUAUUUUCUUAGAGUCCCUAUCGACGAAGAUGUUUGUGACCUCGAUGUUGAAUUGAGGUUCCUUUAUAAAGCAGCUUUUAUACUAGGAAGUCUGUUCGACUUAUAACCCCUC
rnacentral:rRNA from 1 species